AUGCUUGUGAAGACACCGGUAAUGGUUUUGCUUUCUGGGAGCGUUACGUGCCCAGCCAGGCCUUCCCAGCUGUCUGGAGCUGGGGCAGUGACAGGCACCUUAACCUGGAUUGGAAGAGCCGUCCUGGCAGCGCUGGGUAACACCAGGACAGCCCUUUGCUGUUCCAGGAUGGAAUGUUUCCUAUCUCGUUUCUGGAAAGUCUUACACUGGAUGUAAAAGCAUGCACAGUGGUAUUUAUUCUGCAUGACCUUUCCUUCUAUUGAGUGCAAGAACUUACGAGGAAGAGAAUGGAGCAUCCGCGUCUGGGGAGAGAAGGGCUGUAGUGUCAUGACAGAUGUGAAGAGAGGACUGAAAGCUGGAUUUCAGACUUCAGGCAUAUCGUAUCCAAAAAGCAACACAAAAAUUCUUUGCCUUCUGAAGACACGGUGGAGCUGCAUAUCAUUCUGAAGGAUGGAGGGCUAGCUUAAUACAAUACAGAAGGAAACAUAAUAAAACUUCUCGCUGUUCCCUUUGGGUGCACAAGCUCAUGGCUGUUUUGAUUUUGUUGUUGUUUUUUAAUUUUAUUUUUCCCCCAAACUGGGAAAAAAAAAAAAAAAAACCGUGGAACAACAGGAACAAGAACAAGGUGGAUCUCCUACCCUGCCAGUGCAGCUGGCACAAAGAGCUUUAGGCUCCUAGCCUUUAAUUCUCACCUAACAUCCUGGAGAUGGCAGCUGAAAACCCAUCUCCUGAGUACAACUUGGGUGCUUACAUCUAUUUUGGGAAUUUCUGAAUGAGAGAAUGCGUGUGCUGAAAUCCUGGGAUCUCUCCCAUCCCUUCCAGAAGAUGUGCUUGCCUUUAAACCGUCACGGAAAUCAAACCAGACUCAUCUGAAAGUCAAGUCACAGCGAAUCUCAGCCAUCACCUCUUCUGCUCAAAAGACAACUUUCUAUUCAGAGCACAGCUGCCCUGACACUCCUAGACAAUUUUAACUCAUCCAAAUAAUCCUUCAGAUUAAUGUUAAAGAAGCAGUGCAGAGAUGGUUCCUGGAAGCAAAAUUGGGCUCAUUUGACAGAAUUUAAAAGGAGCAGUUAUAAUUAUUCUCUGUGAUCUCUCUUAAAGUGCAGGAAGAAAGACAGAGAGAAAAAAAAUUACCUUUAUUUGUGUGCCUGUUGAUAUACUGUGACUUUUUCCUUCCUUCUUUGCAUGUGGGAAUCUGUAAUGCAGCUGACAGUGAUUUAGGGUUUUUUAAGUGUUGGAACUAAUCUCUGCUUUCUUGGGAAUUUUAAGAUAUAUGUUGCCCUCAUGUUCACUGACCCAGCUAGCUAAUGAUAAGAAAAAAUAUUUUCUUUAUUAUUUUGAGUAAUAAUGGGCAGUGUGUGAAUAACUGUUAAUUACUGCAGACGAGCUCAGUUCAUGUGAUGAAUGGAAACAUUGUCUGAGAAUAAGAAAUUGCAUUUGUCACAAAGCAAAGAGUAAUAUGGACCUGACCUGAGAGUCAUUGUUUUAGAUUAAUUCAUGACCUACUUGCAGAUACACCAAGCAAUCAGACAGUUUUAAUUUUUGGUAGGAUGUAUUUUAAAGGAGUACCAAGUCAGCAGCAGAUCUCCAUGCGUUCUGCAGGAUUGCUUUUGAGUAGAAGAACAAGGUACAAAUUUGGGCUUUGGAUAAACAGAACAGGCAGAGAAAAUUCUUCCUGGAGAUGAGACAGCCCUCGAUGUUAACGAAACAGUCGAUGUGGGUAUGUCUUUUUGUAAGCUGGGCCCUAUCCAAAAGCCCUCUCUGCGCAGGAUGGUUUUAACAAGAGGUUUAUCCACUUCUGUCACCGCCGGCAGUAACCAGCCACUCUGAUUAGCUCCUGUUAAAUGGGGAGAAGGGGUUGCAGCAGCCCUGUUAGGAAGGAUUCUUGACUGCAUGCUAAAGUUUAAAGACAUAUUUAAAUGCUUUUCAGGGUGGUUUAUAGUAUACGGUAACUGCUUUUCCGCCUCAGGGCUUUAAUUAGGAAAUGAUAGUGAGCAUCUGUGCUUCCUGGCGGGUGUAGGAGACGAGAGGGUAGAAAAGCCUCGCGCAGUAAGCAGAGCUGCAGCGUGGCGGUUUGGUGCCUGCUCGCUGUGCAGGGCCGAGAAUUUCAUCCUCCAAAGAUGCCUCUGCCUCUCUGAUGUUGUCUUUCUCUUGUUAUGGAACCAUGUACUGAAAAUGUGUAAGAUGUAUUUGAUCGAAACCCUCUGACCUUAACGAGGGGUUUAGUCAGCAUCCAUAGGAAGGAGAGCGUGGCCGAGGGCUGGGGGCUUCACCUACAGACGAGGCAGAGCCUGGUCUGUGGGGCCUGAGGGGGGCAGGCCAAACAGCUGGGUCCACACAAGGCGGAGAUAGGUCUGGCAUGUGUGAAAGCAGAGCUGUUGUUUCCUGGUAAGAAACUCUUAAACAUUGUCAGGGCAAGGCAGGGGUUUAAGCGCUGUGAUCUGGGGUUGGUACCUGUGCUAAAUCCAGGCGCCUUGUGGGCUGGCCGCAGUUUGCUCUGUAACACGGCCUGUGCCCGAGAGUUUGUGCUGCGGGAGGUGCUGUGCAGUAGUGUAGGAACUGUAGAAAUGGGAGAGAGAAACACCCCCUAAUUUUCUGCCAUAAGCUCCUUAAGAUCACUGACAAGAGCCUGCUUGUUCCCUGAUGAAAUAUUGUGGGAUGUUUUACUCUAAUUUUUGUUCUCACAUCUGAAAACAGGCACCAGUGACAUCUGCCAGCCUGUGAGUCCUUGUCCCUCUCCAAGCUCAGGUGUCUGAGAUUGUGUCCAUACAAAUUAAAAUACUUGGAGCAUUUCUGCUUGAACUUGUAUGACAUCUUUUUCCAGGUAAUUGAUAGACAUGGAUAUUGCCAAGACUGGCUGAACAGCGAUGGUAAAUGAUAUUGGUGAAAUUCUAAUAGAUCUUUUUGCUGCCCGUUAACAAGAAUGAGCACUGUUAACAGAGAGGUGAAAAGAGGUGCAAUGCGAGCUUUAUAUCAAAGGGGCUUUAUUGUCCCCAGAAUUUCAAAAGAAGACAUUUCACUACUUAUGUAGUAUAUGGAGAAUUUUAUCUCUCCCUAAAAAAAAAUAAAAAUGAGAGCUAGAGAUGUCUCUGAAAGAAGCGGUACGAUAUUUUCGUAUUGACAACAAAAGCUAGUUUGUGCCUCCAUUCAUCAACAGCGUACAAUGAUGUGUCAUUCUUUUCUUCCCUCUAGUCAAUAAGGAGAAAAACAAGUUCAAUGUAGGCAGCAUUAUAAAAGUCAGCAGAAUCUAAAUGUGGGUUACGUCUCCCCUGCACCCCAAGUGUCAAAUUGUUCCAUGUCAUUGCUGCAGAGGUGAGCGAUGCUGUUUGUGCUCACGGAAUUCUCAUCGGCAUCUUCGCCCUUAGCACCCACAGCUUCAGGAGCAAGGCAAGGGAGAAGUGAUGGAGGAAAUUCCCCUCUUCUUCUUUCCAUUUGCUUCUUAAGCCUUAAGAAUCCAUUUCUGGAAACAAUGCCGAAGACUGGGCACAAACUCCACGUUCUGUUCUUAGUAUGAUUUAAUGUUCACAAUAUUGACAUGCUAUGCCAGUUAUGCCUUAAGCACUCGGAGAUCUGUAAGGUUGUAGCCCAUCAUUUGAGGCAGUAAAAGGCAGUCCCUGGCCUAGAGAGUUUGCAAGACUGAGUGUCUGGUGAAGUUUAAAACAUGUAAAUAGAUGCAAUUUUUAAAAAAAGAACAAGAAAAGGGAUUUAGUAACAGAAAUAACUUCUGAAUACCCAAAGCAGUUUGGCGGAGGAGUUGAUGCUAAGAACUUUUGCAGAAACUGGUGCGUGGGGAGAGGAGCAGCCAGUGCCCAGGAGCAGCAGCUCCCCUCCUGUCCUGUCCCUGUGAGCUCCCAGCUGGCUGCGGUGGUGGCAGGGCAGGGACACGGGGACAGUGCAGGAGCUGAGGGGACACGGAGCACAAAGCCACUGCAAAAUGGAUUUUUG
rnacentral:lncRNA from 1 species